GUGAUUUAAAGUUGCUGCGUUUAAAACGCUCGUAGUUGGAUCACGCAGUAGCAUACAGUUACACAGAUUGGUUUAUUUGACGAUUUUCUUUCAAAGAUUAUUGAAUUUUGACUGGUCUGUGUGUUAACGCUGUAUGCUACUAUUUGCACACAAGUAUGGUAUUUGGCCUUAAGUGAGUCGAGUAUCAUGUCUUGUGGGGUGUGCCUUGAAUAAAACAGAGUGCUCAAAGCAGGCGAACGCUUGAAUGUUAUAGCAUGGAACGAACAAACGUGUAUUUGCGUAUAUUCGAUUAGGUCGAGGGCAACUUUGACCUGUUGGAUAUAUGCAGCACCCGCCAAAAUACGGAUGUUGGUUUUCGUAUCAGGUGAUGAUUAACAGGAGCGGUUGGGGGCAUUGGUAUUUGGCCGCGAGAGGUGAAAUUCUUGGACCGGCCAAGGACUAACAGAUGCGAAGGCGUUUGUCUAGACCGUUUCCAUUAAUCAAGAACGAAAGUGGGAGGUUCGAAGACGAUCAGAUACCGUCCUAGUUCCCACUAUAAACUAUGCCGACCUGGGAUCAGUUUAGUGAUUAACAAGCACUAGGUUGGUCCCCCUGGGAAACCUAAAGUUUUUCGGUUACGGGGAGAGUAUGGUCGCAAGUCUGAAACUUAAAGGAAUUGACGGAAGGGCACCACCAGGGGUGGAGCCUGCGGCUUAAUUUGAC
rnacentral:rRNA from 1 species